rnacentral:rRNA from 1 species
GAUGAACGCUGGCGGCGUGCCUAAUACAUGCAAGUCGAGCGAAUGGAUUAAGAGCUUGCUCUUAUGAAGUUAGCGGCGGACGGGUGAGUAACACGUGGGUAACCUGCCCAUAAGACUGGGAUAACUCCGGGAAACCGGGGCUAAUACCGGAUAACAUUUUGAACCGCAUGGUUCGAAAUUGAAAGGCGGCUUCGGCUGUCACUUAUGGAUGGACCCGCGUCGCAUUAGCUAGUUGGUGAGGUAACGGCUCACCAAGGCAACGAUGCGUAGCCGACCUGAGGGGGUGAUCGGCCACACUGGGACUGGGACACGGCCCAGACUCCGACGGGAGGCAGCAGUAGGGAAUCUUCCGCAAUGGACGAAAGUCUGACGGAGCAACGCCGCGUGAGUGAUGAAGGCUUUCGGUUCGUAAAACUCUGUUGUUAGGGAAGAACAAGUGCUAGUUGAAUAAGCUGGCACCUUGACGGUACCUAACCAGAAAGCCACGGCUAACUACGUGCCAGCAGCCGCCGUAA